AAGAAGAGCCUGGUACACAGUAAUCCAUUCAAAUCUCUCUCUCUCUCUCUCUCUCUCUCUCUCUCUAUUCCUCAUUGUAUAAGACGAGCUUGAUAAGUCCUAGGUCCUUAGAGCUUCUCUUUGCCAUUAAAGCUUCCUCCCUCUCCUCUCCCAUUAGUUGUCUGGAAAUGGACGACGAAGAGAUACAUAGGGCGGUCAUGACGUAUUUGAAGAAGAAGGGUUUCAAGCAAACUGAGCUCGCAUUUCAAGAGGAGCAGAGAAAAGAUCUCUCUUCUGUGGAGACUGAUCCUGACAUUGCUCGCCAAAUCAUUUCUUUUGCAGAAUCAGAGAAUGGCCCAGCUAAAUACAAGGAGGAUUAUAGCAAGCUAAGAUCUUGGACCUAUAGCUCAUUAGAUUUAUACCGGCAUGAGUUACUCCGUGUACUCUAUCCAGUUUUUGUCCACUGUUUUAUGGAUCUUGUUGCAAAGGGACAUGGCCAGGAAGCUCGAAAUUUUUUCCUUGCCUACCGCGAAGAUCAUGAGCUGUUGUACCUCCGAGACCUCCAAAAGUUGGAAGGAAUUAUCUUACCCUCGCAUUUGGAGGAGAUGGAAUUUGCUCGAUCGUUGAGGCAGAGUAAAGUCAACAUUAAGCUAUGUCAGUAUUCAUAUGAGCUGUUGCUGCAAUAUCUGCACAAAUCAGAGUCUAUGAAAAUGCUUGGGAUUAUCAAUGAGCAUAUCAAUUUCGAAGUUUCUUCUGGACAGUCCAGCUCGAUUUCAGAUGAUGCAGAGGCCGUCACAAUGAUUGGAAGCACUCAGGAUGCUGCGAAAGAGUUAAAUCAAAAGGAAAUACGUUGGGGAUUGCUUGAAGACUCUUUAGAAGAACGAUUGGAGAAAGAGAAUAUGGCUUCAGAAGCUGAAAAAGUUGAUGGUGAUGGCAAAGAUGCAGACAUGGAUGAUAAUAAGAAGAAGGCAGAGGGUGGAAAAUCUGGAGUUUCUCUUAAGAAGGUGAAAAAGGACAAGCUUUUGGGGGCAACAGGAAAGAAUAUACGUACAGAGACAAGCACUGUUUCUGUAGCUCCUCGAGUGAAAUCUGAACUUCCAUUACCGGUGGUUCCAAUGGAAGUUGAGCACUCAUUUCUAGAGGACCUGCGAAACCGAGCGCAGCUGGGAAGCUCAGCACUGCCAUCAGUUAGUUUCUAUACUUUUAUAAAUACCCAUAAUAGUCUAAAUUGUGCGUCAAUUUCUCGUGAUGGUUCCUUAGUGGCAGGUGGAUUCUCUGACUCAUCAGUGAAGGUCUGGGACAUGUCAAAGAUAGGGCAGCAAUCAGAAAAUGGCAAUGUGCAGGGAGAAAUUGAAGCUGCUCAGAAGGGGCAAGUCUUAGGACAGGAGAAUGGGAAAAGGUCUUACACAUUACUUCAGGGUCACUCUGGACCUGUUUAUUCAACAACCUUUUGUCCACUGGGGGAUUUUAUCCUGUCUUCUUCUGCUGAUUCAACUAUUCGAUUAUGGAGCACUAAACUGAAUGCUAAUCUUGUCUGCUAUAAGGGUCACAAUUAUCCAAUCUGGGAUGUUCAGUUUAGUCCUGUUGGACACUAUUUUGCAAGUUCUUCACAUGAUCGGACUGCGAGAAUAUGGUCUAUGGAUAGAAUACAGCCUCUACGCAUAAUGGCAGGACACCUGUCGGAUGUGGAUUGUGUGCAAUGGCAUGUAAACUGCAAUUACAUUGCAACUGGUUCUAGCGACAAGACAGUCAGACUGUGGGAUGUGCAGACUGGAGAAUGUGUUCGCAUUUUUCUUGGUCAUAGAGGUAUGAUAUUGUCCAUAGCAAUGUCACCUGAUGGGCGUUAUAUGGCUUCUGGUGAUGAGGAUGGCAUGAUAAUGAUGUGGGAUCUUUCAAGUGGAAAAUGUGUCACUCCUUUAACAGGGCAUACGUCUUGUGUAUGGACUGUUGCAUUCAGUUGUGAAGGUUCAUUAUUGGCAUCUGGUUCUGCUGAUUGCACUGUAAAACUAUGGGAUGUCAAUGCUAAUACAAAGGGUCCACGAGCAGAAGAAAAGGUAACUAACACAAAUAGACUGCGAUUUUUGAAGACUCUGCCUACUAAGUCAACUCCUGUCUAUGCUUUACAGUUCUCUAGAAGGAAUCUUCUGUUUGCAGCUGGAGCACUCUCAAAAGGCUUGAGUUCUUACAACAAGUAGCUGACUAAUGAUUUCAUAUAAGGACUAACGAAUUUUCCAGAGAAGGCUGAGAACAUGAUGCUGAAAGCAGUUAGAAGAAGUGUGUAGACCGUGAACGCAUGCCAAGAAAUUCAGAGAUCCACUUUGAUUGAACUGGAAAGCAUGUCAAUGAUGACUGUGAGCAUCAGUGUUUGGGUCUGUCAAAUUAGAACCGUUUAGCUCAAGCUCUCCAUUCCCUUUGGGGUUCCAUAUUGUUACUGAUAAAUAGGUGGAAAAUUAAGGCUCUCGGUUUCCAAAAGUACCCUUUGUAUGAAGAUUUUUGUGGCCUUCACUUUUUAUGUAUUUAUUCGAAAGAAUUCACCUAGUGAAGAGUGUAUUAAUGAAUUGGUUCAGCUCGUGUAUGGGCGAGGCCUAUUUAAUGUGUCUAACACAAUCUCCUUUAGAAGGCAUUCAAAGUGCCGGUUGUUAGCUCCUC